UACGGAGGGUGCAAACGUUGCUCGGAAUCAUUGGGCGUAAAGCGCACGUAGGCGGUCCGGUAAGUCGGUUGUGAAAGUCCAGGGCUCAACCCUGGGAUGCCGAUCGAUACUGUCGGACUAGAGUUCGGAAGAGGCGAGUGGAAUUCCCGGUGUAGCGGUGAAAUGCGCAGAUAUCGGGAGGAACACCAAUGGCGAAGGCAGCUCGCUGGGACGUUACUGACGCUGAGACGCGAAAGCGUGGGGAGCAAACAGG
rnacentral:rRNA from 1 species